AUGGAGACCUGUAUGAAUGGCAUAACGAGGGCUUAACUGUCUCCUCUUUCCAGUCAAUGAAAUUGAUCUCCCCGUGCAGAAGCGGGGAUAAACACAUAAGACGAGAAGACCCUAUGGAGCUUUAGACACCAAGACAGAUCAUGUUAAAUACCCCUUAAUAAAGACCCGAACUUAAUGAUCCCCUGUCCUAAUGUC
rnacentral:rRNA from 1 species